rnacentral:rRNA from 1 species
CCAUCCCUACGGGGCGCAGCAGUGGGGGAUAUUGCACAAUGGGGGAAACCCUGAAGCAGCAACGCCGCGUGGAGGAUGGAGGUUUUAGGAUUGUAAACUCCUUUUGUUAGAGAAGAUUAUGACGGUAUCUAACGAAUAAGCACCGGCUAACUCCGUGCCAGCAGCCGCGGUAAUACGGAGGGUGCAAGCGUUACUCGGAAUCACUGGGCGUAAAGAGUGCGUAGGCGGGG